ACACUUCCCUAGCAGUGGGGAAUACCAUGAUGAUGACAAUGGUUUCCCCAAGGUUCAGCUUGUCCAUUGCACUGCGGAUGUGCUGAUUCCUGUGAUUUUCCUCAAAUAUGGGAAACCCCAGUGCAUAAUUUAUAAGAGUGAGGCACUGUAUUUGCCCUCUCCCAUA
rnacentral:snRNA from 1 species